rnacentral:sRNA from 1 species
GCUGGGUGCGGUGGUGCUUGCCUGUAAUCCCAGUAGCUUGGGAGGCUGAGGCAGGAAGAUUGCAAGUUCAAAGUCAGCAUCAGCAACUUAGUGAGGCCCUAAGCAACUUGGUGAGACCUUGUCUCUA